ACGUAGGGUGCGAGCGUUGUCCGGAAUUACUGGGCGUAAAGGGCGCGUAGGCGGUUUGUUGAGUCAUCUGUGAAAUCCCGGGGCUUAACUUCGGGAGUGCAGUUGAUACUGGCAUACCUUGAGUACUGUAGGGGUAACUGGAAUUCCUGGUGUAGCGGUGAAAUGCGCAGAUAUCAGGAGGAACACCGAUGGCGAAGGCAGCUUACUGGACUGUUACUGACGCUGAGGCGCGAAAGCAUGGGUAGCAAACAG
rnacentral:rRNA from 1 species